rnacentral:misc_RNA from 1 species
GGAGGGAUCAUUAGCGAGUUGUAAAACUCCCAAACCAUUGCGAACGUACCUGCCGUUGCCUCGCCGCCAGCGUCCCCGCCAGGGAGCGUCGGCGGCGGCGGCUGACCAAACUCUUGUAUUUACAGGCCUCUCUGAGUACACUUAUAACAAGUUAAAACUUUCAACAACGGAUCUCUUGGUUCUGGCAUCGAUGAAGAACGCAGCGAAAUGCGAUAAGUAAUGUGAAUUGCAGAAUUCAGUGAAUCAUCGAAUCUUUGAACGCACAUUGCGCCCGCCAGUAUUCUGGCGGGCAUGCCUGUCCGAGCGUCAUUUCAACCAUCAAGCCUCUGGGCUUGCGUUGGGGCCCUGCGGCUGCCCGCAGGCCCCGAAAGACAGUGGCGGGCUCGCUGGCACUCCGAGCGCAGUAGCAUCUCUCUCGCUCCGGUCGUGCCGCGGGUUCCAGCCGUGAAACAACCCCCUCCACAAGGUUGACCUCGGAUCAGGUAGGAAUACCCGCUGAACUUAAGCAUAUCAAUAAGCGGAGGAAAAGAAACCAACAGGGAUUGCCUCAGUAACGGCGAGUGAAGCGGCAACAGCUCAAAUUUGAAAUCUGGCCUAGGCCCGAGUUGUAAUUUGUAGAGGGCGCUUCUGGCGCGGCACCGACUGAGUCCCCUGGAACGGGGCGCCAAAGAGGGUGAGAGCCCCGUAGAGUCGGCUGCCUAGCCUGUGCGAAGCCCCUUCGACGAGUCGAGUAGUUUGGGAAUGCUGCUCAAAAUGGGAGGUAAAUUUCUUCUAAAGCUAAAUACCGGCCAGAGACCGAUAGCGCACAAGUAGAGUGAUCGAAAGAUGAAAAGCACUUUGAAAAGAGGGUUAAAUAGCACGUGAAAUUGUUGAAAGGGAAGCGCUUGUGGCCAGACUUGCGCCGCGCUGAUCAUCCGGUGUUCUCACCGGUGCACUCGGCGCGGCUCAGGCCAGCAUCGGUUUUCGCGGGGGGAUAAAGGCGCUGGGAACGUAGCUCCUUCGGGAGUGUUAUAGCCCAGUGUGCCAUGCUCCCGCGGGGACCGAGGUCCGCGCGUACGCAAGGAUGCUGGCGUAAUGGCCAUCAGCGACCCGUCUUGAAACACGGACCAAGGAGUCAAGGUUUUGCGCGAGUGUUUGGGUGUCAAACCCGCACGCGUAAUGAAAGUGAACGUAGGUGAGAGCUUCGGCGCAUCAUCGACCGAUCCUGAUGUAUUCGGAUGGAUUUGAGUAGGAGCGUUAAGCCUUGGACCCGAAAGAUGGUGAACUAUGCUUGGAUAGGGUGAAGCCAGAGGAAACUCUGGUGGAGGCUCGCAGCGGUUCUGACGUGCAAAUCGAUCGUCAAAUCUGAGCAUGGGGGCGAAAGACUAAUCGAACCAUCUAGUAGCUGGUUACCGC